rnacentral:rRNA from 1 species
UUAAGCGACUAAGCGUACACGGUGGAUGCCCUGGCAGUCAGAGGCGAUGAAGGACGUGCUAAUCUGCGAUAAGCGUCGGUAAGGUGAUAUGAACCGUUAUAACCGGCGAUUUCCGAAUGGGGAAACCCAGUGUGAUUCGUCACACUAUCAUUAACUGAAUCCAUAGGUUAAUGAGGCGAACCGGGGGAACUGAAACAUCUAAGUACCCCGAGGAAAAGAAAUCAACCGAGAUUCCCCCAGUAGCGGCGAGCGAACGGGGAGCAGCCCAGAGCCUGAAUCAGUGUGUGUGUUAGUGGAAGCGUCUGGAAAGGCGCGCGAUACAGGGUGACAGCCCCGUACACAAAAAUGCACAUGCUGUGAGCUCGAUGAGUAGGGCGGGACACGUGGUAUCCUGUCUGAAUAUGGGGGGACCAUCCUCCAAGGCUAAAUACUCCUGACUGACCGAUAGUGAACCAGUACCGUGAGGGAAAGGCGAAAAGAACCCCGGCGAGGGGAGUGAAAAAGAACCUGAAACCGUGUACGUACAAGCAGUGGGAGCACAGAGCAAUCUGUGUGACUGCGUACCUUUUGUAUAAUGGGUCAGCGACUUAUAUUCUGUAGCAAGGUUAACCGAAUAGGGGAGCCGAAGGGAAACCGAGUCUUAACUGGGCGUUAAGUUGCAGGGUAUAGACCCGAAACCCGGUGAUCUAGCCAUGGGCAGGUUGAAGGUUGGGUAACACUAACUGGAGGACCGAACCGACUAAUGUUGAAAAAUUAGCGGAUGACUUGUGGCUGGGGGUGAAAGGCCAAUCAAACCGGGAGAUAGCUGGUUCUCCCCGAAAGCUAUUUAGGUAGCGCCUCGUGAAUUCAUCUCCGGGGGUAGAGCACUGUUUCGGCAAGGGGGUCAUCCCGACUUACCAACCCGAUGCAAACUGCGAAUACCGGAGAAUGUUAUCACGGGAGACACACGGCGGGUGCUAACGUCCGUCGUGAAGAGGGAAACAACCCAGACCGCCAGCUAAGGUCCCAAAGUCAUGGUUAAGUGGGAAACGAUGUGGGAAGGCCCAGACAGCCAGGAUGUUGGCUUAGAAGCAGCCAUCAUUUAAAGAAAGCGUAAUAGCUCACUGGUCGAGUCGGCCUGCGCGGAAGAUGUAACGGGGCUAAACCAUGCACCGAAGCUGCGGCAGCGACGCUUAUGCGUUGUUGGGUAGGGGAGCGUUCUGUAAGCCUGCGAAGGUGUGCUGUGAGGCAUGCUGGAGGUAUCAGAAGUGCGAAUGCUGACAUAAGUAACGAUAAAGCGGGUGAAAAGCCCGCUCGCCGGAAGACCAAGGGUUCCUGUCCAACGUUAAUCGGGGCAGGGUGAGUCGACCCCUAAGGCGAGGCCGAAAGGCGUAGUCGAUGGGAAACAGGUUAAUAUUCCUGUACUUGGUGUUACUGCGAAGGGGGGACGGAGAAGGCUAUGUUGGCCGGGCGACGGUUGUCCCGGUUUAAGCGUGUAGGCUGGUUUUCCAGGCAAAUCCGGAAAAUCAAGGCUGAGGCGUGAUGACGAGGCACUACGGUGCUGAAGCAACAAAUGCCCUGCUUCCAGGAAAAGCCUCUAAGCAUCAGGUAACAUCAAAUCGUACCCCAAACCGACACAGGUGGUCAGGUAGAGAAUACCAAGGCGCUUGAGAGAACUCGGGUGAAGGAACUAGGCAAAAUGGUGCCGUAACUUCGGGAGAAGGCACGCUGAUAUGUAGGUGAAGUCCCUCGCGGAUGGAGCUGAAAUCAGUCGAAGAUACCAGCUGGCUGCAACUGUUAUUAAAAACACAGCACUGUGCAAACACGAAAGUGGACGUAUACGGUGUGACGCCUGCCCGGUGCCGGAAGGUUAAUUGAUGGGGUCAGCGCAAGCGAAGCUCUUGAUCGAAGCCCCGGUAAACGGCGGCCGUAACUAUAACGGUCCUAAGGUAGCGAAAUUCCUUGUCGGGUAAGUUCCGACCUGCACGAAUGGCGUAAUGAUGGCCAGGCUGUCUCCACCCGAGACUCAGUGAAAUUGAACUCGCUGUGAAGAUGCAGUGUACCCGCGGCAAGACGGAAAGACCCCGUGAACCUUUACUAUAGCUUGACACUGAACAUUGAGCCUUGAUGUGUAGGAUAGGUGGGAGGCUUUGAAGUGUGGACGCCAGUCUGCAUGGAGCCGGCCUUGAAAUACCACCCUUUAAUGUUUGAUGUUCUAACGUUGACCCGUAAUCCGGGUUGCGGACAGUGUCUGGUGGGUAGUUUGACUGGGCGGUCUCCUCCUAAAGAGUAACGGAGGAGCACGAAGGUUGGCUAAUCCUGGUCGGACAUCAGGAGGUUAGUGCAAUGGCAUAAGCCAGCUUGACUGCGAGCGUGACGGCGCGAGCAGGUGCGAAAGCAGGUCAUAGUGAUCCGGUGGUUCUGAAUGGAAGGGCCAUCGCUCAACGGAUAAAAGGUACUCCGGGGAUAACAGGCUGAUACCGCCCAAGAGUUCAUAUCGACGGCGGUGUUUGGCACCUCGAUGUCGGCUCAUCACAUCCUGGGGCUGAAGUAGGUCCCAAGGGUAUGGCUGUUCGCCAUUUAAAGUGGUACGCGAGCUGGGUUUAGAACGUCGUGAGACAGUUCGGUCCCUAUCUGCCGUGGGCGCUGGAGAACUGAGGGGGGCUGCUCCUAGUACGAGAGGACCGGAGUGGACGCAUCACUGGUGUUCGGGUUGUCAUGCCAAUGGCACUGCCCGGUAGCUAAAUGCGGAAGAGAUAAGUGCUGAAAGCAUCUAAGCACGAAACUUGCCCCGAGAUGAGUUCUCCCUGACUCCUUGAGAGUCCUGAAGGAACGUUGAAGACGACGACGUUGAUAGGCCGGGUGUGUAAGCGCAGCGAUGCGUUGAGCUAACCGGUACUAAUGAACCGUGAGGCUUAACCUU